rnacentral:pre_miRNA from 1 species
UAUUACAUGAAUCAAUUUAGUCCUUUUACUAUUAAAAGUAAUCAAACAAGGCAAAUUGGAAUAUAGAACAUUCCAAAUUUUUUCUACAGUACAGUUUGGAUUUAUUUGAUUCCUUUUAAUAGUAUAAGGACUAAAUUGGUCUAUCUCUAU